rnacentral:lncRNA from 1 species
GAAAAAUCAACAUAUGCUGCUGCAUUUAAAAUUAUUAAUUAUAACUGUAUAUCACCAGUAACUGUCUGUGUUCAGCCUACAAUGCUUUCAGGUAAAAAUCAAUUCCAAGAACUUUAUGAAUCAAGUAGUCUUUACUGGCAUGAAUAAAAAGACUAUAAAGUAAAUUAUUUCAAGGUGGAUUCUGUGGAAUAGCAAGGAUCAGAAAUGCAUCUUGAUCUUUCUGAGGUUUAGCAUAAGAAGAAAUGAUAGUCACAGUAUAUUUUUAUAGAGAGCCUGUGUGUACUGAAAGCGCUUAAAAUUAAUUUUGCUAUGGAAAACAAGCUGUGCACGAAAGGUUUUGCUGCAAACCCACCCCCUGCCAAAAAAAAAAACCAAACCAAGCAAACAAACAAACCAAAAAAAAAAAGGGGGACGGACCUGCUAGAGAAGUCAUCUCAGUCUACAGUAUAAAGCAAUAUUACAAAAGUCCCUGUUUGUUUUUUUCCAGGUUUUCAUAAUAGGCUUGCCAAGAUGUGACCACAGCAAAUGGCCAGAGGCUGCUUUGGGUUUUUUCCAUCUUCUCGGUGAGAUGGUUACCAAAGAUUCCCCUGGACUAUUUAAAAAAAAAAAACAAAAACAACAAAGAGCAGAAAGCCCACGCUGUUGGAUGCCAUCUGCUGCUCCUGUGCAGCAGUUUAUUCCAUUCCCUGCCCAGCUCUGGGCAGAUGGUGUCCAUUCCCUCCCAGCCCUCUCGAGGGACAGGGAACCUCAAUGCCGCCUCUGCGCGGGGAAUGAGGGAUGCAGGUGCUGCGGGCUGGGGCGACCUGAGAGGAGGCUCCGGGGGUGAUCCCCAGCCCCGCGGGGGCGGCCUUGUCCCGCAGCCCUGCCCAAGGAGCUGCCUCCCGCCUGGGCUGGGCCGGGCAGCGGGGCCGGGCAGGUGCUUGUUGUCCCCGGCGGGAAGAUGGAGGCGGCGGGCGGGGAGCGGUGAUCGCCGCGGGCUGCGCCGCUCGCCUCGCUCAGGGCUCCCCAGACAUGUUCAACCAGCAGCAGUUCCAGCAGCAGCUGCUGCAGCUCCAGCACCUCCUCCAGCAGCAGCAGCAGCACCAUCACCACCCUCCGGCGCAGCAGGGAGGCCGGUAAGCGCCGCUACGCGAGGCCGGGGAUCCGGGGCCUGUCCCGGGGGAUCGCUCUCCUCCGCCUCUCCGCGCUCCGUCCGUGCUCGCCGCGGCGGGGCCGGUGCGGCGCUGCCCUCCCCUGGCGGGGAAGGCAACAAAGGGAGGCGGGCGGGAGUUGGGGGGCGCGG